UCAGGAAGGUCUGUGAGCUUGAAAGGUUGCAUCUGCUACUGGACCACUGGACAGAGGGAAAAAAAGAAGAGAAGAAUGGAAGAGUAUGAAAAGCAUACAUUCUCCUUGUUGGAAUUUGAUUCUUCUAAUUUUAAAGAAUGGAUAAAGAGUAUAUUAUCAGUGAGAGUUCUGAACAAUGCAAACCUUUGAGCAACCACACAGAUACAUGGACAAGAAAGAGUGACAAUAGUGAAAUGAGGUAUAGUCUACAUAAUGCUAGCCUUCUUCUAACAUCUUCUCCUACCUGAAGCAAAGCAGUCUUGUUUAUGCAAGAAAGAAGAAAGUGACUCUACAAUUUGUUUUUGAAUAUUUUUGAUAUGGUAAUUUACAGCUACCAGCUUGGAAUAUCUCACCCUUUCAAAGCUUUGAAGCAUGGAGAAUCUUUGAAUAUUUCAAUAUUUUUUCUCUUGCAAUGCAGAAGAGGAAAAUCUGAUUUCUGGAAGCCAAGGAAAAGAAUCCCUUCAACUCUUAGCCAAUAUUUGAUUUCACAGAAGCUGAAGGAAAUAUAUACAGCCCUUGGAAAAGUAACAUUACCAUUAUAAAACUGAACCUCAUGAUCAGCUAAACAAAAUGUCGUUUUUUUUCUUUUAAUAUAAGAGUUGAGGAAAGACAACUUCUUCAUUGACGAAAAUCCUAAGAUUAACUUUAAACUUACAAUAAUUAAAAUUUUAAAACGUUAAAUAUUUUGAACUAAUUUUUAAGGUCAAAUAUUUGGGAAGCAUUCCAUUUUCUAUAUGUAUGUUUAUUAUUGCUUUUAUUAUUAGCUCUCCUAUGAAAUACCACACUGACAUAAAUAAAAGUCUGUAUUUGAAGACAA